CUCAGUCUCCUGUGGUCAUCCGCAGAUAAACUGUCAAUUAGUUUACCCUCAAAUACCAUGAAUAUUGAAAGAGAAAAAUGCUUUACCAUUAAUUAAGAAAAGGGGACUAGAUUAGUUAAAAACAAA